AUGUGUCUCUGUAGUGGACACCUGUGAGGCAGUGGACAGACAGCUGCUGAUGUCUGAUGCUGACUGACAAUAAACAGACCUCUCUGGACGUACCCCAUCUUUUGCAGAGAAAUUAUACCAUUGCCCUUCCUGUUACAUGAUGAUCCUGCUGUCCUGGACUGUAUAUGAUGAGCCUACACAUAAUCUCAGAACAGCUGUGGUAAUAACAGAGGACCCAUUUGGUGAGAGCAGCACUGCAGACUUUCCUGAUGGAGGAGAUCAUGGACAAUUUUCACAAGACUGAUGAUGUGUUUCAGCUGUGUUUGUAUCGUAAAUCCUCACAAUGUUUGUAUAUAUAUAUAUAUAUAUAUUAAAAAAUAGUUAAUGCUAAUGCAAGGGUGUUUCUAAUCCAAGAGUCUUUGGGAGGGAUGCUAAAUUUGACAUUGUUCUCUCUUCUGACUGCUGUUAUCAGUCUCUGACAGAUUAUUUUCUUUGAUUUAAAGUUGUGAAAAUGCUAUUGUAGAGUUUUUCAUUUUGCUAUUUGAGUAAAUAAGAAUUAACCCAACUAUAACAACUUACACUGCUGAGAAACUGGUUUAUUAAGCUAAAUACAUCUAUCUUGAGGCUUAUCAAUUUCUUGAAAUGUCUUGUGUGAAUUCUCCCACUCAGUUACCACUAUUUAGAACAGGAGAGAAUAUGUUACUAUUAAUUGCAUUGUGUCUAAAAUUUAAAUCAUUGUUUUAGGUACCUAAAAUGUUUUUUUUUAAGUUCUAAGAUUAUUGAGUCACAUUUAUUUGUUUCUAAUUUUAACCAAGGUGUAAAUGCUUUUUGUUGUUGUUGUUUAUAGCAGUAUUAACACUGAUUUUGCCAUGAAUGGGAUUGUGAUGUGCAGUAUUGUGAUUAUGGAAAUUGUUGUUGUUUAUCAAUAAACUGUUUUAUACGCAUUUGUUUUAUUUUUAAUCAUUAAAAAGGUCAACAGCAGGACAAAUAAACCAGUGGGGGGGGGGGCAUUAAAGAACUGAAAUUAGGCAAAUGGUGCCUUGAAGCACCCCAGGUGGUUCCUGGCCAUCAUAAUAAAAGGGUUCCUCCAGGAACCAUUGAAAGUUCCUCAGAGAACCAC